rnacentral:rRNA from 1 species
UGGUUGUCGUCAGCUCGUGUCGUGAGAUGUUGGGUUAAGUCCCGCAACGAGCGCAACCCUUGUCCUUAGUUGCCAGCAUUUGGUUGGGCACUCUAGGGAGACUGCCGGUGACAAACCGGAGGAAGGUGGGGAUGACGUCAAAUCAUCAUGCCCCUUAUGAGUUGGGCUACACACGUGCUACAAUGGACGGUACAAAGGGCAGCGAAGCCGCGAGGUGGAGCCAAUCCCAGAAAGCCGUUCUCAGUUCGGAUUGCAGGCUGCAACUCGCCUGCAUGAAGUCGGAAUCGCUAGUAAUCGCAGGUCAG